GGCCACAGUCAAAGAGUAUAUUGCAGACGACCUCGCGGAGAAUUCCGAUGACGAAAAACGUCUCAGAAAGGCGGAGAAGGCUGCAGCCACCAAAAGGGCCGAAACAGCCAAAAAGUCAAAGAUUCAGCCCCCCUUCCGGGCCCCCCGCUCUUCUGUACCUCCUCGCAUUAUGCCUGGGACUUUUCGUCGCUUCAACCCCUACCGUCCUGAAACCCGCAUCUGCUUCCAGUGUGGCAUCGCCGGUCACGUCCGCCCCAACUGCCCCGCUCUGCGAGCCGCUAGAAGUGCCGUCAACCAGCAACAGCCAUCCAAGGCCCCCUUCUAGUGCCCCACCCGCCUCAUCUCUCGACCCGCCUUCAGGCGUGCAAG